rnacentral:tRNA from 1 species
GGCAGCGUAGUUUAGUGGUAGAAUACUCGACUUCCAUGCGAGAGGCAACCGUUUGAUUCGGUUCGCUGCCACCA